rnacentral:rRNA from 1 species
GUGGGGAAUCUUAGACAAUGGGCGCAAGUCUGAUCUAGCCAUGCCGCGUGAGCGAUGAAGGCCUUAGGGUUGUAAAGCUCUUUCAGCUGGGAAGAUAAUGACGGUACCAGCAGAAGAAGCCCCGGCUAACUCCGUGCCAGCAGCCGCGGUAAUACGGAGGGGGCUAGCGUUGUUCGGAAUUACUGGGCGUAAAGCGCACGUAGGCGGAUCAGAAAGUCAGAGGUGAAAUCCCAGGGCUCAACCUUGGAACUGCCUUUGAAACUCCUGAUCUUGAGGUCGAGAGAGGUGAGUGGAAUUCCGAGUGUAGAGGUGAAAUUCGUAGAUAUUCGGAGGAACACCAGUGGCGAAGGCGGCUCACUGGCUCGAUACUGACGCUGAGGUGCGAAAGCGUGGGGAGCAAACAGGAUUAGAAACCCCGGUAGUCC